UCCAGACUCCUACGGGAGGCAGCAGUGGGGGAUAUUGCACAAUGGGGGAAACCCUGAUGCAGCGACGCCGCGUGAGUGAAGAAGUAUUUCGGUAUGUAAAGCUCUAUCAGCAGGGACGAAAAUGACGGUACCUGAGUAAGAAGCCCCGGCUAACUACGUGCCAGCAGCCGCGGUAAUACGGAGGAUGCGAGCGUUAUCCGGAUUUAUUGGGUUUAAAGGGUGCGUAGGCGGGCAUUUAAGCCGGCGGUCAAAUGUCGGGGCUCAACCCCGGCCUGCCGUCGGAACUGGGUGCCUUGAGUGGGCGAGAAGUAUGCGGAAUGCGUGGUGUAGCGGUGAAAUGCAUAGAUAUAACGCAGAACCCCGAUUGCGAAGGCAGCAUACCGGCGCCCUACUGACGCUGAGGCACGAAAGUGCGGGGAUCGAACAGGAUUAGAUACCCGCGUACCC
rnacentral:rRNA from 1 species